GUUAAAGGAAGGCAACAUUCUACAGUGCCAUCCAUUUUUUUUGGGAACAUGGAAAAGUUCUGGAAAGUUCUUCGUUAGUAGAUAUCUAUGCCUUUUAAACCAUCGAUAUAAAAGUAAGGCUGGGAUUAUAAAUAGCAAUAGAAUACUACGGUGUAAGAUUAUUUACGUUUUUAAUCUUUCAGGUAGCGAUUUUUCGAUCGUCCAAACAACAAAGGGGAAGACUGUAAUGGUGUUUCAGAAUUUUACGUUUUCUAACAGCUGGAACUCAAGAUGUUGGUAUUGUUCAAAGAGGAAGUCCUUAGGCUGCCCCGCUAGCGUUAUGCUGAACAACCAGAAUAAGAUUACAAGGUACAACAGGGAUCACAAUCAUUUGCCUGCAUAUAUUAACUUUGGCGAUUACGACAAAUACUUGUAAAAAUAAAAUUUUUGUUCAACUGCACUAAUUAUAGGAUAAGAAAAGAAGAAGCGAGUUUUAGAACCGGCAAAAUAACAUAACAUAACAAAAAUAGCCUAUAUACGUCCCACUGCUGGGCACAGGCCUCCCCUCAAUCAACCGGAAAGGGUAUGGAGCAUACUCCACCACGCUGCUCCACUGCGGGUUGGAGGAGGUAUUUUUACGGUUAAUAGCCGGGACCAAGGCUAUUAACCGUAAAAAUACCUCCUCCAACCGGCUUAACGUGCCCUCCGAAGCACGGAAUCAACUUAUUUUUUCAGACAAUCAGGUGAUUCAAGUCUGUAAAGUCCUUACCAAACAAAGGACAGUCUCACAAAGUGAUUUCGACAAUGUCCCCAUCGGGAAUCGAACCCCGACCUCCAGAUAGUGAGCCUAACGCUCUAACCACCGAACCGGCAAACUAAAUUAAAAUUACCUAGUUAAGUUCGCUCGAUGCUAUGGUAACAGCGCAGCAUCAAUAGAAUAUUAUGUCAUCGAAAUCCGUCCAUCGUGAAUUCCCGCUCCUAACUAAUAAGCUUUUGUCCCUGCCCACCCUAUUAGGGAUAACGAGUGUGAGUUUCAUCUCUCCAUACAAGUUCCAUAAAUAAAAUACAAUACUUAUAAAAAACUUAUAACAGUUUGUAUUAAAAAGACAGCGUUAUUUAGAAAACUGCUGAAAUCCUCUUACUUACUUUCUAAAUGCGUCUAAAAUAUUGUGAAAAAAGCGAGUCGUUUGACGUUUGCGUUUUACUUCUUGAUACACAGCUGACUUGGUAGUGUUUUCAGUAUUUAUUUUUAAUAUAAUUUGAAGCUAUUUAUUUACUCGUUGUUAAAGGAGUAAUAAUAACUCUUAAAGUUAGUUAUAAAAUGUUUUGUGACCUAAGUACAAUCUUAAAUACAAGUUCAUAACAUAACCUCAAACAAUGAAUUUCUAAAAUGUUAGAAGUUAUUGUUGAUUUUGUGAAAGUGUUUAAAGUACCAAGACUGUACCUACCGUGGAUAAUGUUAUGCAGAUUAAAAAUACCAAGUUUAUAACAGUAUUUGUGUCCAAUAUGCGGCGAUGUGACAAACGGAUUUCACUACGGUAUACACACAUGCGAAUCGUGCAAGCAUUUCUUCAAACGGACCAUUGCACUCGGAAAGUCUAAUACAUAUAGCUGUACCUACUCUAUGAAAUGUGACAUCAACCCUAAAACUAGGUACAAAUGUAAAUAUUGUAGAUUUAAUAAGUGCCUUAGAGCUGGGAUGAAUACAAAUUUGGUACGACAAAGAAAGGAAAUAGGGGGUCGAUCGCAAUUUUACACGCGUGGUAUUUUAAAAUGGGAGGAUAUUUAGUUUCUACAGUACUGUGAUGUGUAGCCGUUAUAUGGUUUAUGGUUGUAUUAUUUGAAUCUGUAUUUUUAAUUAUUUUCCCCAUUCCCGAGAAAUGUUUUUCGGAGGUAUGUGACCUGAUUUAUAUUGGGCUGGUUUUCCCUUCGCGGGUUGAAAGGUCAGACAGUCGUGUAAAAAUCCGGACCUGUCAAAUCUUCGGGUAAGUGGACCCCGUGAAAAAGGCGUAUAAACCGCGCUGUUUUGGCACCAUCUAAAGCUUCAUACACACCAAGCUUUAGAUAAAUAAGACAUACCUACUUAUUGAAGUUAUAAAGAAAAAUAAUAUGAGAAUAAUAUAAACUUUUAAACUUACUUAAAGGAACGUCCAGUUCUUGGGUAGCGACUGUUCUCGUGAACUUCAUUCGCGGACGGACAAUAUGCUGAAGGCUCCUUUCUCAAGGAUGUCCGGUUUGCGGUGACGUCGUAUCUGGUAUACAUUACGGGACAAGGACUUGUGAAUCUUGCAAAUUAUUCUUCAAGAGAACCCUUCAGAUGAAUAAACAAGAUACUUACAUUUGUAAUGGUGUUAGGGGUGUGUGUAGUAUCACCGUGGAAUCCCGGGCUUGGUGCAAAGCUUGUAGGUUCAAAAAGUGUAUUGCUGCUGGCAUGCAGCCCUUGAUGGUGAGGAAAAAGCAAGGGAGACCGACGAAGUUUGGUCUUUGGUAAAGUUCGUUUUUAGUGAAAUAAAACAUAAGACAUAUAUAUAUUCAGAGGCAGAGGACAGGAGUCCUAGUAUGGCUUUGAAGUAAGCUACUCCGGGCGCCAUCCCACUCGCGUCCGACAAAGUACUGUCGAAGACAAGAAGCCAGCACUGCCCUAUUUUUCCCUAAAAUAGUAGCAUGGAGAAUGCUACACCGACAAGAGCGUGUCUCUUAAAUUAAUGAUGAUGAUGAUGAAAACAUAAGCGCACGACUAUAUCCGAAUGGGAUAGUCAGAGGUACAUCCAUCAUAAGAUGAACUAAGUACCCACACUUCACCGAGCUUUCUGUUAGACCAACGUGAGUGGUGAGCCGCAUCGCUGACUAUAACAGUCGCGCCAACUGUGUUAGUGAAAACUGCACUUAAGAUAAUUUAUUGGUGCAAGUCCAUUAUUGGUGCAAUAAAGUAUAUAAAAAUCUCAAUACACCCACAUUUGGUAUUGAAGUCUUAUGAUAGUUAUGUACAUCAGCUGGUAGAUCAUCAACCUCUCGUCUAUAAAGUAUCCAUGAUAUUGUUUUGAACUAUCGCGAUUUACACACAUAAUUAACAUAAGAUCUAUAGUAUCUAAUCGUGAACAAUAUAUACAAACAGUAUAUGAAAAUCAUUUAAUUAUAAUAAUGUCAUUAUAUUUUAAAACUAGCGUACGUACUUAUACUUUUGCACUAACAUAAAUUGAAUUAAAGCAAUUCUAAAUUCAUUUACAGAGUAAUUUUUGGAGUCCGUUACUGAAUUUCGAAUCAAUACAAGUACGCUAGUUCGAAAAUAAACAGCACUGAGUUGUCGAACUAGCGUACGGUCACGCACGAGCAUUAAUAUGUAUAUACUUUGGUACCAUGUCACAUUAACUUUUUUGAC